GUUGGAUUUUGUGUUCUGAUUUUAACGUUGGCAAUGUUGCUAAGAUAUCUUAAAAACCAACAACUGUACCCUAACAAACAUGUAUGAUUGAAUUAGCUUUUAUCUUAGAAUGUUUAGAAGUUUGUUACUGACUAAUUGAUGCUUCUUUCCCUAAUUUUCUCUGAAAAUUUUCUGAGCAAAGUGGCUUUGUGAUACUAAUUGAUUCCCUAGCAUUUCAUUUCAGACGUUUGACUGGUUCUUUUUGUGUUUGUAAAAAGGUCCCAGGC
rnacentral:misc_RNA from 1 species